GUGAAUCAUCGAAUCUUUGAACGCAAAUUGCACUCUCUGGUAUUCCGGAGAGUAUGCCUGUUUGAGGGUCAGUUUAAAUAAAAAUCGGGGUUGUUUCUGCCUUGCGUGGUUACGCACCGGAUUUGGGUCGUCUUGCCUUCGUGUAAGUGACCUAAAAUUUUGCAUUAUUUUUUUCGAACGUAUUUAAAUAGUUUUACUUACGUUUUCGAUAUCUAAUACUAAGUUUGGUCAUCC
rnacentral:misc_RNA from 1 species